CAAGUCAGAGUUUGUGCAGCUCAGCAGCAGAACUAACCUGCAGGAUGUUCUCGGCCAUCAUCACAUUUUUUCUCUUGCUUCUAUGUAUGUUCAGAAAUAUCCAGAUGAUGCUUUUUCCAGGAGUCCAUGUGUUCCCUAAACAAUGAUUAAUCCAUAUUUUCCUUUUUUCCUCACAGAUGAAGCAGACGCCGUCACAUUUGACCCAACUCUUCCAGUAAUAGCGCAGAGCAAGGAGAGAGUGGAGAUGAAAUGUCGCCACGACGACAGUAAUCUCAAUGUGAUGCUGUGGUACCAGCAAACCCAGAGCGGUGGGAUGAACCUGAUGGGAUACGGGUACACGGGCUCAGAACCUAUUCUGGAGAACGAGUUUAAGUCCCAGUUUGAGAUGACCAGAGAAGAGGUCCGGAGAGGAAGUCUGAUCCUCCGGAGCGCCAAAGAGUCAGACUCGGCUGUGUAUUUCUGCGCCGCCAGCACACGCUGAUGUGGUUUGAUGAGAGCUCAUGACUAAAACUCCUCCUUCGGGGUCCCAUCUGUGACACGGGGGGCUGGCAGACGGAGGAAACGAACAUCACUGACUGACGUUUUAGUCUUUAAGAAAUAUUGGCGUUUUUCUGUGGAGGAAGUUAUGUUCUGGGAGAAGGAAGCCAUAUUUCAGAAAAUAUCCAGAUUUUAA